rnacentral:rRNA from 1 species
CGUGUAGGCGGCAAUACAAGUCUGGUGUGAAAUACUCCGGCUCAACCGGAGAGACGCGCUGGAAACUGUAUUGCUUGAGUUUAGGAGGGGGAGCUGGAAUUCCAGGUGUAGGGGUGAAAUCUGUAGAGAUCUGGAAGAACACCGGAGGCGAAGGCGAGCUCCUGGCCAUAGACUGACGCUGAGGCGCGAAAGCGUGGGGAGCGAACAGGAUUAGAUACCCUGGUAGUCC